AGAGUUUGAUCCUGGCUCAGAAUGAACACUGGCGGCGUGCCUAACACAUGCAAGUCGGAUGUGCCGCAAGGUGCAUGGCAGACGGGUGAGUAACGCGUAGGGAAUCUACCUUUUUGUGGGGAAUAACGCUCCGAAAGGAGUGGUAAUACCGCAUGAGACCGCAGACUGGGAUGUUUGUGGUGAAACCUGGGGACCGCAAGGCCUGGGGCAAGAAGAGGAUCCUGCGUCUGAUUAGCUAGUUGGCGGGGUAAUGGCCCACCAAGGCGACGAUCAGUAGCCGGCCUGAGAGGGUGAUCGGCCACACUGGAACUGAGACACGGUCCAGACUCCUACGGGAGGCAGCAGUGGGGAAUUUUGCGCAAUGGACGAGAGUCUGACGCAGCAACGCCGCGUGGGUGAUGAAGGUCUUCGGAC
rnacentral:rRNA from 1 species